AGAGUUUGAUCCUGGCUCAGGAUGAACGCUAGCGGGAGGCUUAAUACAUGCAAGUCGAGCGGCAAGGUCUUCGGACCCUAGAGCGGCGCACGGGUGAGUAACGCGUACGCAAUCUGCCCUUCAGUGAGGAAUAGCCCUGGGAAACUGGGAUUAAUACCUCAUAAUAUUAUUUGUUCGCAUGGACGAAUAAUUAAAGUUCUGGCGCUGAAGGAUGGGCGUGCGUCUGAUUAGCUUGUUGGUAGGGUAACGGCCUACCAAGGCUACGAUCAGUAGGGGGCGUGAGAGCGUGGCCCCCCACACGGGUACUGAGACACGGACCCGACUCCUACGGGAGGCAGCAGUAAGGAAUAUUGGGCAAUGGAGGCAACUCUGACCCAGCCAUCCCGCGUGAAGGAUUAAGGCCCUAUGGGUUGUAAACUUCUUUUGUUUGGGAAGAAAUCUGGACAUUUAUGUGCAGUUGACGGUACCUUACGAAUAAGCACCGGCUAACUCCGUGCCAGCAGCCGCGGUAAUACGGAGGGUGCAAGCGUUAUCCGGAAUCACUGGGUUUAAAGGGUGCGUAGGCGGUUUGAUAAGUCAGAGGUGAAAGCUAGCAG
rnacentral:rRNA from 1 species